rnacentral:rRNA from 1 species
UACGGAGGGUGCAAGCGUUGUCCGGAAUCAUUGGGCGUAAAGCGCGUGUAGGCGGUUCGGUAAGUCCGCUGUGAAAGUCGGGGCUCAACCCUCGGAUGCCGGUGGAUACUGUCGAGCUUGAGUACGGAAGAGGCGAGUGGAAUUCCUGGUGUAGCGGUGAAAUGCGCAGAUAUCAGGAGGAACACCAAUUGCGAAGGCAGCUCGCUGGACGUACUGACGCUGAGACGCGAAAGCGUGGGAGCAAACAGG